ensembl:miRNA
AAUUAUUAGGUUGGUGCAAAAGUAAUUGAGGUUUUUGCCAUUGAAAGUAAUGGCAAGAACCACAAUUACUUUUGCACCAACCUAAUAUUCCAAAG